AAGGUUAGUAGAGGAAAUGCUAUUAAUUUGACGGUACCGACAGAAUAAGCACCGGCAAACUCUGUGCCAGCAGCCGCGGUAAUACAGAGGGUGCGAGCGUUAAUCGGAUUUACUGGGCGUAAAGGGCGCGUAGGCGGUGAGAUGUGUGUGAUGUGAAAGCCCCGGGCUUAACCUGGGAAGUGCAUCGCAAACUGUCUGACUGGAGUAUAUGAGAGGGUGGCGGAAUUUCCGGUGUAGCGGUGAAAUGCGUAGAUAUCGGAAGGAACGUCGAUGGCGAAGGCAGCCACCUGGCAUAAUACUGACGCUGAGGCGCGAAAGCGUGGGGAUCGAACAGGAUUAGAUACCCUGGUAGUCCACGCUGUAAACUAUGAGUACUAGAUGUUGGUAGGGGAACCUAUCGGUAUCGAAGCUAACGCGAUAAGUAUUCCGCCUGGGAAGUACGGCCGCAAGGUUGAAACUCAAAUGAAUUGACGGGGGCCCGCACAAGCGGUGGAGCAUGUGGUUUAAUUCGAUGCAACGCGAAGAACCUUACCUACCCUUGACAUCCUAGGAAUCUGGCUUAGUAGCUGGAGUGCCGAAAGGAACCUAGAGACAGGUGCUGCAUGGCUGUCGUCAGCUCGUGUUGUGAGAUGUUGGGUUAAGUCCCGUAACGAGCGCAACCCUUGCCCUUAGUUGCCGUCAUUUAGUUGGGGACUCUAAGGGGACCGCCAGUGAUGAACUGGAGGAAGGCGGGGACGACGUCAAGUCAUCAUGGCCUUUAUGGGUAGGGCCACACACGUGCUACAAUGGGGCGUACAGAGAGUCGCGAACCCGCGAGGGGGAGCUAAUCUCAUAAAGCGUCUCGUAGUCCGGAUUGGAGUCUGCAACUCGACUCCAUGAAG
rnacentral:rRNA from 1 species